rnacentral:rRNA from 1 species
GUGCCAGCCGCCGCGGUAAUACAGAGGUCCCAAGCGUUGUUCGGAUUCACUGGGCGUAAAGGGUGCGUAGGCGGUAGGGUAAGUCUGACGUGAAAUCUUCGAGCCUAACUCGGAAACUGCGUCGGAUACUAUUCGGCUAGAGGAAUGGAGGGGAGACUGGAAUACUUGGUGUAGCAGUGAAAUGCGUAGAUAUCAAGUGGAACACCAGUGGCGAAGGCGAGUCUCUGGACAUUUCCUGACGCUGAGGCACGAAAGCCAGGGGAGCAAACGGGAUUAGAAACCCUUGUAGUCC